GGUUGGUUGUGUUAGUGCUGCAAUGGUAUUUGGAUUUAAUUAUUUAUUAUUUUAAAUGCUUAUUUUAAAUGUUUAUUAUUUUAAAAUGAUAUUGAGGAGAGUGCUUAUGAGUGUGUAUUAUUUUAAAAAUGAUAUUGAUGAGAGUGCUUAUGAGCGUGUGUUAUUUGAAUAAGUUAUUAUUAUUAUUAUUUUGUGGUGCGCGGGGGGGGAGUGAGCGUGGCUGGGUUACCUGAUGGAGCGCGAGCGUACGGUGUGCGGUAGCGUGGUAAGGUCCCCGGGCUUCGGAGAAUCAGCAAAGGACUUAUUCACAUACUGGUGCGGUAGCGCGGAAAGGUCCGCACGGCUUUGGAUAAUCCUCGGAGAGAGCGAUGCGGGAGAGCUGAGAGGCGUGCUGCUGCGCGAGUCUGAGAGAAACUGUGAGAGACUGUGGGAUAAAAUGGUAAAGUUGGAGCAAAGAAUGAGAGGAGGAGGUGCAGGGUCUAUCGUCCAAUAAAAACGCUCGGCGCUAGUUUUGACCGUGUGUUUUUUCCUCACGCAAGCGUUUGUAUCACAUCGGCGUAUGGCGCCAAUUUGUAAAGGUCAUAAGUCGAGACAUACAUCGAGUCUGUCAAUUUGUCCGCCAGUAAAUUCUGCAGGGCCGUGCCACCUGGCCAUCGAGGCGCCCCCCUACCCGGCCACGCGGGCCAUACAUCGAGUCUGACACUUUUGCCCUCCAGUAAAUUCUGUUUAAAGUUUUGUUUUCACAUACGUCCCAAAUUACAGAUAAUUUUCUUACACAGGCACGAGUAGCAUCAUCAAGGCCGUACCACCUGGUCAUACAUCAAGUCUGACAAUUUCCCCGCCAGUAAAUUCUGUUUAUAGUUUUGUUUGUCAUACAUGACCGUGCAGAUAUGGGGUGACAGAGACAAUUAAAUUGUAUUACGUCGAGCGGGGGGCCUUUUCCUCCUCCUAGAGGCACAACGCCUUACCAAAGUUUGUACCAGCCAAAGAACCACAAGUUUCAUCGAGACCUUACCCGGUAAGUAUAUUAUUUCUUUUAUUCCUGUUAUAAAAAUGCUAUUCAAUUAAAAAUAACAUUCUAAUAAUAGGUAUUCUCUGUUUUUUCUAUGUACAAGAGAGAGAGACUGCGCUGACCGGUCAAGAGAAAAUCUACAAGAGACCUGAAUCAGCAGUGUUAUAAAGCACAUAGCCAACGCUAAUUAAUAAAGAAUUUAAGCAUAAUAGCCCAGACGCCCAUGGCCUAUAGCUGGUAGAAACGGAGCUAUCCUACGGCCUACAAGAUAAAAGCAUAUGGCACCAAAUUGGAAUCAGUAGUCUUUAAAAGAAUAAAUGGACUAGCAACUGUCUCUGGGGGAGCAGCCCCGGUUAGGUACUAUUAAGCAGCAUUUAGUGACAUGCAUCAAAACACAUUUUUUAAAACUUUGACAGAAUAAAGUCUUAGUUAUUUUAAUAAA